CCUACGGGAGGCAGCAGUAAGGAAUAUUGGUCAAUGGACGCAAGUCUGAACCAGCCAUGCCGCGUGCAGGAUGACGGCCCUCUGGGUUGUAAACUGCUUUUAUAGGGGACGAAAAAAGGGCUUUCUAGCUCGUCUGACGGUACCCUAGGAAUAAGCACCGGCUAACUCCGUGCCAGCAGCCGCGGUAAUACGGAGGGUGCAAGCGUUAUCCGGAUUUACUGGGUUUAAAGGGUGCGUAGGUGGGUCGGUAAGUCAGCGGUGAAAUCUUCGAGCUUAACUCGGAAACUGCCAUUGAUACUAUCGAUCUUGAAUCAUCUGGAGGUAAGCGGAAUAUGUCAUGUAGCGGUGAAAUGCUUAGAUAUGACAUAGAACACCAAUUGCGAAGGCAGCUUACUACGGAUGCAUUGACACUGAGGCACGAAAGCGUGGGGAUCAAACAGGAUUAGAUACCCUGGUAGUCCACGCCCUAAACGAUGGAUACUCGACAUUUGAGAUAUACUUUAAGUGUCUGAGCGAAAGCAUUAAGUAUCCACCUGGGAAGUACGAUUCGCAGAUUGAAACCUUNAANAGAGUUGAGNGNGAGAGNGCGAGCGACACGAGGAGGAGG
rnacentral:rRNA from 1 species